GACGAACGCUGGCGGCGUGCUUAACACAUGCAAGUCGUACGGUAAGGCCCUUUCGGGGGUACACGAGUGGCGAACGGGUGAGUAACACGUGAGUAACCUGCCCACAACUUUGGGAUAACGCUAGGAAACUGGUGCUAAUACUGGAUAUGUGCUCCUGUUGCAUGGUGGGGGUUGGAAAGCUCCGGCGGUUGUGGAUGGGCUCGCGGCCUAUCAGCUUGUUGGUGGGGUAGUGGCCUACCAAGGCGGCGACGGGUAGCCGGCCUGAGAGGGUGACCGGCCACAUUGGGACUGAGAGACGGCCCAGACUCCUACGGGAGGCAGCAGUGGGGAAGAUUGCACAAGGGGCGCAAGCCUGAUGCAGCAACGCCGCGUGCGGGAUGACGGCCUUCGGGUUGUAAACCGCUUUCAGCAGGGACGAAGCUUUUUGUGACGGUACCUGCAGAAGAAGCACCGGCUAACUACGUG
rnacentral:rRNA from 1 species